rnacentral:tRNA from 2 species
UGGGUCUUUAGCUCAGCGGUUAGAGCACCUCACUUUUAAUGAGGGGGUCGAAGGUUCAAAUCCUUCAAGACCCAA